CACUCUGGAUUCUGAAUCCAGCGAUCAGAGUUCAAAUCUCGGUGGGACCUCCAAAUGAAAGAACCUAGUGGGGAAACCCCCACUCAAUUCCUGAUUCGGCAUGCACCCAAAGAAUCACGCGAGACC
rnacentral:pre_miRNA from 7 species